rnacentral:rRNA from 1 species
UAGAAGUUACUUCGGUACAUCGGUGACAGGUGGUGCAUGGUUGUCGUCAGCUCGUGUCGUGAGAUGUUGGGUUAAGUCCCGCAACGAGCGCAACCCCUAUUGUUAGUUGCCAUCAUUCAGUUGGGCACUCUAGCGAGACUGCCGGUGACAAGCCGGAGGAAGUGGGGAUGACGUCAAGUCCUCAUGGCCCUUAUAGGUGGGGCUACACACGUCAUACAAUGGCUGGUACAAAGGGUUGCCAACCCGCGAGGGGGAGCCAAUCCCAUAAAGCCAGUCGUAGUCCGGAUCGUAGUCUGCAACUCGACUACGUGAAGUCGGAAUCGCUAGUAAUCGUGGAUCAGAAUGUCACGGUGAAUACGUUCCCGGGUCUU